AUGGAGUUAUCAGCUGCACGUCUCCUAGACACCUGUGAUGCCAGAAAACAACUGAAUCUGGGCAAAGGAGAUCCUGAGAAGCCGAGAGGCAAAAUGUCAUCGUAUGCAUUCCUUGUGCAAACUUGCCGGGAGGAGCACAAGAAGAAGCACCUGACGCUUCAGUCAACUUCUCAGAGUUUUCCAAGAAGUGCUCAGAGAGGUGGAAGACCGUGUCUGCUAAAGAAAAAGGAAAGUUUGAAGACAGGGCAAAGGCUGACAAGGCUCGUCAUGAGAGAGAAAUGAAAACCUAUAUCCCUCCUAAAGGGGAAACAAAAAAGAAGUUCAAAGAUCCCAACGCACCCAAGAGGCCUCCUUCGGCUUUCUUCCUGUUCUGAGCAUCGCCCCAAAUCAAAGGAGAGCGUCCCGGCUUAUCUGUUGGGGAUGUUGCAAAGAAACUGGGAGGGAUGUGGAGCAGCACUGCUGCAGAGGACAAGCAGCCUUAGGAGAAGAAGGCCGCCGGGCUGAAGGAGAAACACGGAAAGGAUAUUGCUGCCUAGAGAGCUGAAGGAAAACCUGAUGCUGCAAAAAGGGGGUUGUCAAGGCUGAAAAGAGCAAGAAAAAGAAGGAAGAGGAGGAGGAUGAAGAAGACGAAGAUGACAAAUAA